UGUAUUCUUGAGGUCCCUAC
rnacentral:siRNA from 1 species